rnacentral:piRNA from 1 species
UCCCCACUGAGAAAUGGUGACAGAACUGG